ACACUUCCCCAGUAGCCCACGACACCUUGCUUAGCCACACCCUCAAGGGAUUUCAGCAGUGAUAAAUAUUAAGCCAUAAGUGAAAACUUGACUUAGUUAAGGCUAAAUAGGGCCGGUAAAACUCGUGCCAGCCACCGCGGUUAUACGAGAGACCCAAGUUGACAGACAAUCGGCGUAAAGAGUGGUUAAGUAGCACAUUACACUAAAGCCAAACACCUUCAAAGCUGUUAUACGCACCCGAAGAUCAGAAGCCCAAUCACGAAAGUGGCUUUAAAUUAACUGAACCCACGAAAGCUAGGACACAAACUGGGAUUAGAUACCCCACUAUGCCUAGCCUUAAACAUUGAUGGUCUCUUACAAUUACCAUCCGCCUGGGAACUACGAGCAUCAGCUUAAAACCCAAAGGACUUGGCGGUGCUUUAGACCCACCUAGAGGAGCCUGUUCUAGAACCGAUAACCCCCGUUCAACCUCACCCUUCCUUGUUCUCCCC
rnacentral:rRNA from 1 species